CCUACGGGAGGCAGCAGUGAGGAAUAUUGGUCAAUGGGCUUACGCCUGAACCAGCCAAGUCGCGUGAGGGAAGACUGCCCUAUGGGUUGUAAACCUCUUUUGUCAGGGAGCAACGCCGGCUACGUGUAGCCGGACUGAGAGUACCUGAAGAAAAAGCAUCGGCUAACUCCGUACCAGCAGCCGCGGUAAUACGGAGGAUGCUAGCGUUAUCCGGAUUUCUUGGGUUUAAAGGGUGCGUAGGCGGAAUGCCAAGUCAGCGGUAAAAUCGCGGGGCUCAACCUCGCUCCGCCGUUGAAACUGGGGUUCUUGAGUGGGCGAGAAGUAUGCGGAAUGCGUGGUGUAGCGGUGAAAUGCAUAGAUAUCACGAAGAACUCCGAUUGCGAAGGCAGCAUACCGGCGCCCAACUGACGCUGAAGCACGAAAGCGUGGGUAUCGAACAGGAUUAGAUACCCUUGUAGUC
rnacentral:rRNA from 1 species